GAGCUGAUCGUGACUCCUUGCUUAGCGUAGAAGGUCACAAACGAACAAAAUGAUCCGUUCGGCAUGUAAAAGAAUUGGACUUUCUGCUCUAAACGCAGUCAGCAAGCAAAUAAAAUCAGGAUGUCCUAGCGGUAUGAUGACAAUUGAUAGAAUUUUACUGUUCUAUAUUUUAUUUUGUUUCGAAUUUCACACAGCAAUGAGUUCAGUAGAGAUCACGUAGAUAUUUUGAGAUAUUGCUCUUAAUAAUUUGUCUCACAUACUUUUUUAUAUGUUAACAUACUUGAAAGGUUUUUGUCAAGUAUAUACCUGUAUAUAACUGUAGACUGGUCAGUUGGUACCAACUUGAAAAGUUCCUGGUGGGGGUUGGGGUGAUUGUAUAUGUACAUACAUGUAUGUAUGUGGGGUGGGGGAAAUAGAAGUUGCUGUUAGGCCUAGCUAAGAUAAUCUUGUUGUGUAGCCAGUUACAUUUCCCAUAUGACAUUUGUCGUUUGUUAUUUUUUAACUUUGAUUUGUCAGAUAUACAAUGUAUGUUAUAUUUGUAAACAUGGUAAAUGAGUAAGAAAACCACAUAUAGGUAUAACUAUAUAUACCGGUACUUGUACAGUACCGAUCAGACCCAACCUAACAGAAAGUGAACCCCAACUAGACCCUGGGUUUGCUUUCUGGGUUUACUCUGGGUUUACUAGAGUGGACCUAGAGUAAACCCAGAGUGGACACAGAGAGUAAACCCCGAUCAGAAGUAUACCCCUAAAGCAGACGCUACAUGUGUAUUUGGAAUAUACAAGGAGCAGGAAUUACAAGCAGUAAGAUGGUACGAUAAAAGACUGGUCUGCUUCACACUUCAGUGCAUACAGUUGACCACAAAAGCAAGUCUGGAGUAAACCCAAUGUAAACCCUGAGUGGACCCAAAUUUUCAAAGAGUAAACCCAGAAAGUAAACCCGGGAUUUAGUUGGGGUUUACUCUGGUGUUAGGUUUAGAGUGACCCCCCCCCCCCCCCCCCCACACACACACACACACACUUUGUCAAAUACACAACCAUUUGAAAAAGACAAUUUUAGGUCAAAGCUUACAGGUAUACUUUGUAAUCAUUUCUUGUGUACAGUGUACAUACAUGUAGACGGCAUAAUGUGCCUCUACAAUAACUUACAUACCAAUAAUUAAUAAAACUGACAUCUGUGUUUUGUUUAAACAAUGUUUUAUUUAGAAUCAGUGUAAUAUAUUGAAUGGGAGGAGGCAGCAGACACAUUCUAUUUUAGUCCUUUCCCUAAACCAAGGUCAAAAUGAACAAAUUGAGAAAUAUUGAAAUUUCAUUUGUGUUCCAUUCAGCUGCUGCAGCAGGUUUGAGACCCUACAGUGAAACCGGCCCCAGACCCCAUACAUCCUUGUACCCAGUGGUCAGUGAGGGAACCUGGCUGGAGAAAAACAACUAUGCCCAGUUUGAUGGGUGGGAGUUGAGACAGCUGAUAAAUUUUGUGGCUGUAAGUCUUAUCGCUAUAUGAUAAUAUGAGCUGUGAUUUUUUGUGUCUGAAAUUUUAAUAAUAAAACUUAGAAAUACCUAUUCUGUGACUGAAGAAGUUGUCAUUUAUAAACUUUCUUUAUUCACUUUUUUGGUGGAAAAGAUCUUUGCUGUAUGAUUCUGUAAUGAAGUUUGAUUACUGCAAGUCAUCAAUACUUGUAUUAUUUCAUAAGUAAAUCUUAAUCUUCUGUAAUGCAUUUUGUAGGCAGAUGAUGGUGUACCUGAGCCAGAAAUCAUCAUUGAAGUUCUGAAGGGCUGCAGGAACAAUAACGAUUACGCCCUCGCAACCCGUUUCUUGGAAGUAGUGAGGUUGAAGGGAGGUAACAAAAUGUCAGAAACCUGGCCCUACAUUAUGCAAGAGAUCGGACCAACCAUGCAGGAAUUAGGAAUUAGCACACUUAAAGAAAUGGGAUAUGAAGAGCCAGAGUUAUGGCUGGAAAAUGUAGAUGACAUGUAAAUCAGUUUGAAAAUCCUUUGACAAGUUAUGAAAGUGUUGGAUUUUGAAAAAAAGACAUUAUUUUACUUGAAGAACUUUUACCUGUUGUUUCAAGUGCAUACCUAAAUAAACACAUUGAAUUACUUGGU
rnacentral:misc_RNA from 1 species